GCUCAGGAUGAACGCUGGCGGCGUGCCUAAUACAUGCAAGUCGAACGAGAUGCUUUUGUAGCAAUACGAGAGUAUUCUAGUGGCGAACGGGUGAGUAACGCGUUGGUGACCUACCCCAAAGUGUGGGAUAACAGUCCGAAAGGAUUGCUAAUACCGCAUGUGGUCUUCGGAUUUAGAAACUGAUGACUAAAGGAGCAAUUCGCUUUGGGAGGGACCUGCGUCCCAUCAGCUAGUUGGUGAGGUAAUGGCUCACCAAGGCGACGACGGGUAGGGGACCUGAGAGGGUGGCCCCCCACAAUGGAACUGAAACACGGUCCAUACACCUACGGGUGGCAGCAGUAGGGAAUAUUGCUCAAUGGGCGAAAGCCUGAAGCAGCAACGCCGCGUGUGCGAUGAAGGCCUUCGGGUCGUAAAGCACUUUUCUGAGAGAUGAGAAAGGACAGUAUCUCAGGAAUAAGUCUCGGCUAACUACGUGCCAGCAGCCGCGGUAAAACGUAGGAGGCAAGCGUUAUCCGGAUUCACUGGGCGUAAAGCGCGUGCAGGCGGUGCGGUAAGUUGGGCGUGAAAUCUCCCGGCUCAACUGGGAUAGGUCGUCCAAUACUACCGUACUUGAGAGCAGAAGAGGAAAAUGGAAUUCCCGGUGUAGUGGUGAAAUGCGUAGAUAUCGGGAGGAACACCAGUGGCGAAGGCGAUUUUCUGGUCUGUUUCUGACGCUCAGACGCGACAGCUAGGGUAGUAAACGGGAUUAGAGACCCCGGUAAUCCUAGCCGUAAACGAUGUGAACUUGGCGUUGGUGGGUUAAACUCCAUCAGUGCCGUAGCAAACGCGAUAAGUUCACCGCCUGGGGACUACGGCCGCAAGGUUAAAACUCAAAU
rnacentral:rRNA from 1 species